ensembl:lncRNA STXBP5-AS1 STXBP5 antisense RNA 1
UUCCUGAUGUUGAAUUUCCUCAUGGUCUCGGAGGGGCUCCCCCGCAGCCCGGGAGGGGAGGCACAGGGGGUCCCCGGGCGGGGGAGACCACCCGGGGCCGAAGGCAGCUUCGACCGCGGAAACGGAGGAGUGGGAGUGUGAGGAGAAAUAUGCAAUGAUGACAUUUCCAAGAAGUGAUGGCAUCUGGCGCUAAGGACAAAGAAUGGGAUUUUGCCACAGGGAUCUUAUUCUCCCACAUGUUCUGUCUGAAGGAGAAAGUUAUCUGAGGCCUUAUAUGAUGCAAAACUUUGGACUCAAAGAAAUUAAAUCACUUGCCCAAGGUUACAUAGCUGCCCCUGGCAAACACCAUUCUACUUUCCGUCUCUAUGAAUUUGACUACUCGAAGUACCUCAUGUGAAAUGUUGGUGCCAAAUGAACUUUUCUGGUUCUUCUGAAUAUGCCACUGUUGCUGGAGAAAUGUCACUGCUAGAGAACAGAAGACUAUUAUUCCAAAGGGUAUUUGAGACUGACUGAAUCAGGUCUGGAACAUUAUUGAAAUGAGACCCACAAAAGAAGAGAUACUGAGGUGGUGACCAGAUGGAUAUAAACGGGCUGUGGAAAAAGAGAAUGCAUGGCCAAAAAUGGUGGUGCUCUCUGUCCAAAAACUGAGGCCCUAUGACCAUGAAUGAAGCCAGAGGGCAGGUAGGAAUAGAUCAUUUGCUCCAGAAGAAGCUGGUUGCCAUGUCUUGAGGACAGUAAACCCUCUGGGGAGGUUCCUGUGGUAAGGAACAAGGGCUCCUGGCAAUAGCCUCUGAGUGAGCCACCUUGAAAAUGGAUUGUCCAGCCCCAGUCAAGCUUUCAGAUGACUGUAGCUCCUGCCAAUGUCUUCACCACAACCUCAUGAGAUCCCAAGCUACAACCACUCAGUUAAGUUAUGCCAAAAUUCCUGAUUCACAGAAAUUGACAUACAGGAGAGGUCACAGUUAAGAUCUUGAUGUUCUAUCUUGACCCAUAAUAUAGGAACUUCAUCUUUUGGGAAGCACCAGGGAGAGCUGCCUGUGCCUGGCAGAAGCUGCCCAUGCCCCACUGAUACCCCACAGUACUUCCUGUUCUGCUUAGUACUCCUGCUUCUUUCUACAAACAACUGUGAUUCUCUACCUGGGAGCUUCCUCUGGCCACAGGAGCCUGCUCACCUGAUUGGGACACCCUAGCAGUACUGGCUCAUAGAUGGAAGGGACUUGCCUUGUCGCUGAUGAGACUUUCGACUUGGACUUUUGAGUCAAUGCUGGAAUGAUUCCCAUAAUCCCCACGUGUCGUGGGGUGGAGCCGGUGGAGAUAAUUGAAUCAUGGGAACACUUUCCCCCAUGCUGUUAUUGUGAUUGUGAAUUCUCACGAGAUCUGAUGGUUGUAUAAACGCCUUCCCUCUUCGCUGGGCACUCAUUUUUCUCCUUCCUGCCACCAUGUGAAGAAGGAUAUGCUUGCUUCUUGUGCCAUGAUUACAAGAACACACUCAGAAAUUUUCUCAACACAGUUUCUAUGCAGAGAAGAGAUGUGGGACAGAUUUGAACUGCUGUCAUAUUUGUAUGAACCCAAGACAUUUUCCAAGACCAAGAGGGAUAAAGACAGCAAUUUCUAUGACUGGCAUUUUACGUGCAUGCACUGUUUCCAAGUGUUCUUGUGUUCUGUGCCUUAAACAUUCUGUGUUGCAACUUUAUGAAUUGAAUUAAAGAUAAUCCCAAGCCCCCAAUUGUCUCAAAAAGUGAAAAAGUAAAUGUUAUAGAAAGAAAAGCGGGAAAAACUUUAAGCAUGAAAUAAAAGAUGGGUUGUGAUAAAAGAGGACUGAAGAAGGAAAAGGAAUGAAAGGUUCUGCCAUCCUUCAUGGCAGCCCACUCCACUUGGUAUGAGAUACUGCUCCCUUGGCUGAAAGUUAACUGCUGUACUCCCUCCACUUUCUAUAAAUGACUCCCUGUGCCUUUCCUUCACCACACAACUCACACUCUCUUCCUUCCUAGUGAGUCCACUAAGGCUUCACUGCAUUAUUACAUUUAUUUCAUUUAGGAAAAACUGACUUUAUUUUCCUUCAAAUUGUUUUUUAUUGUUUAUAUGAGCUUGGUUUUAUUGUCAUUCUAUUUUUCUCCAUGAAAAUAGAGAAAAAUAGGGUCGAAAGGUUAGGUUGGGUGGAAAGGAAUUAUAUUUUUUCUCACUAAAAUUGAUGUAAAUAUCGUUUUCAAUUGAAUGAUUUUACACAGUGGCACAGUUUCAGGUAUGUUGCUAAGCAGGAAAGUUGUUAACCAAAGCAUGAAUGUAUUAAGGAGAUGUAUGCAGAAUGACAUGCAAGGUUAUCUAUGAUUGCUGAGUGAGAAAGAGCAAGUUGCUGAGUAUUAUAUAAGUAUG